rnacentral:rRNA from 1 species
UACCGGGCCAUAAACGCCUGGGCGCGCAUGCCUAAUACAUGCAAGUCAAGCGGACAGAUGGGAGCUUGCUCCCUGAUGUUAGCGGCGGACGGGUGAGUAACACGUGGGUAACCUGCCUGUAAGACUGGGAUAACUCCGGGAAACCGGGGCUAAUACCGGAUGCUUGUUUGAACCGCAUGGUUCAAACAUAAAAGGUGGCUUCGGCUACCACUUACAGAUGGACCCGCGGCGCAUUAGCUAGUUGGUGAGGUAACGGCUCACCAAGGCAACGAUGCGUAGCCGACCUGAGAGGGUGAUCGGCCACACUGGGACUGAAACACGGCCCAAACUCCUACGGGAGGCAGCAUUAGGGAAUCUUCCGCAAUGGACAAAAGUCUGACGGACCAACGCCGCGUGAGUGAUAAAGGUUUUCGUAUCGUAAAGCUCUGUUGUUAAGGAAGAACAAGAACCGUUCGAUAGGGCGGCACCUUGACCGUACCU